rnacentral:lncRNA from 1 species
GUAGUUUCCUUGCACUAGGCACGUUCAGCUUAAAAACAAAAAGUGCAAUCUAUUUUCAAUAGGAAUAGAUAAUGUUGUCCAAAAGCCUGAGGAUAACAGUUAAACUCAUUGAAAAUCACUAAAAAGCCCUUUAAAGGCUACUAUUUUCUUUAAUGACAUUUUUUCUUAGUGUUGGAUGCCCCCUACCACCAGACAAUUGGUAAUAGGAUUGCAACUGGUAUAGGGAAGGUGGAGGGACUGAGGAGAAAAGAGAAAUUGAAUUUAUGUGUCUCCUUCUUAGCACAGCCUCAAAUUUCUUUUUCAGAAAAUAACUUCUGCACAUGCAGCAUUAGGAAGCAGUGUUUCCCAACCACUACAUUUGAAUGAUUCAUUCCUCUGAGGACCCUCAAGUACUUCAGAAGAACUAAAAAAUGAAUAUCACGUUACACCAAAGAAGAAAUGAAAGCUGCCAGUGUCUUCUGAAGUUAAACAGGCUCCUGUUCUUUGACCCAGCAAUCCAAUCCUAGUGCCAUGUUUGUGGACAUCCCCCCACUGCCCUUCAUCCUCAGAAAGGAACAGCCUCCUGUGGGUUGACUUGGUGAUAUCUGUCCAUAGAUAAUGUCUCCAGCCCCAGGCUCAUCACUCAGACAUCUGCCCUCAGGAGGACACGUUCAUCCCCAGCACCAGAGACAUGUCUGCCAAGGCUUUUGGAACUGAUUUUAUCCCCAUGCAAAAAGCUAGAUUCUAAUUCUGUCUGAUCACAAAAGGUUGAAUCAAAGCCCUACAACUGAGGUUCAUAGACCAAAACAAGAAAUACAUGGAAAAGUUGCCAAAGGAUUUUAGAAGAUCAGAGGCUGUAAUUCAUUAUAGAUGUGGAUCCUUUUGCUUUCCUCUAAGGAAAAAAAAUAUUCAAUUUUAUUAAGAAAAAAUUCCCACUAACUGUGGCCAUGUUCAAAGCACUCACAGAAAAUAUUUUGAACGCACAGGGUUUCGCUCAAGGAAGAAUAUUCAUCAUUUCAGGGUGGGGGAAAGGAGCUGGUCAUUCAUUUUCUCUCACCUUAUCCUAACAUUUAUAGUUAAAAAGGGAUGGAUUUGUCUUUGCCUAAUCUCCAUGACAAAGCAAUUCUUGCCUGACCUCUCAAAUUCUCCCCACUCCAGAGAUUGUAUGACCAGAAGGUGGGAUCAUAAAUUCCCAAGAGAUGACAAAGGUGAAAAUGGAAUCAACAAUCACUACCUAAAUUUUCAGGCUCUGAGACACCUUCCUAAACUAUAUGAAUAAGCCACAGCAAAAUGCUUAAAUCUCUCCAGCUAUUUUUUCUUUCAUUGAUAAGUUAUAUUUCUUUUUGAAGGAAAGAAAGUAUCUACCUCAGCUCUUAUUUGUUAAAACUUACAUAACAAAGACACUACAGGUGAAAACACAGCCACCAUCACUCUAUAUUAUUUUCUAAAAUGAUUUAUAACAUAACAUUCAGCAUAGAUAACAGUAAAAGUUUAAAGAGGAUCAUGAAAUACAAAAUAAAUCCAAUUUAAUAAAGUGAAAACAAAAUCAUUGUUCUUUUGUAAAUGUUGAUCACAAAGCUUAAAAAAUGUACUUGAAAUGAAAAGCUUCAGAAAUAAAACAGUUGUACCAAAUUCAGUUUAGUAUUUUGUAUUUAGUAUGUACCAAAUAAAUUUUUAUUAAAUUAUUCAUGAUCUGUGUCACCAACAACUGUGAUGAUCAAUACACAGUCAUAUGAUCUUGGGUGAAGUCUGUGCAGCUCAACAUAAUUCAGUUAAUUCAAUACUGUAAGUGCCGCUGCUAAUUUGCCCAAAUUAUACUAUCAAUUCCUCCUUAAUUAU